GACAUGCAGACGGGGGUCUCGCUGAGCCAGAUGGACGGACAGGCAGACAGAUGGACAGACAGACAACCUGGGAACUUACCGGCGCAGUGGUGAGCAGGCAGCCAGAUCCAGAUCGCCCUUUCCCAGCGCCUGGCUCUGCUCCAAGCUCUUCCUCGUCCUUUUAUUAUUUUUUUUUCUUCCUUCCUCCCCCUCCUCCUCUUCCUCCUCCUCUUCCUCCUCCCUCAGGGCUUCUGCAUAGAGGCCGGGGUCCACCUUCUCUCGGCCGCUGUCAGAAGGGGUGAUGCUCUCCAUGAGGUUUGCUUUGCUCCUUCUGUAGGGAUGGACUGACCUCAGCAAGAGGAAUGUGUCUGAAAGCCAUAGGAGCUGUAUCUUCAUCACGGCCAUUUCUUCCAUCACAGAGCUCCCAUGGGACAUCUCUCAGGAAAACAAGACGGGAUGCAUCGGAGAACCGGCAACACAUAUCCGCCAGAUAAUUAGAUUGAAAGAAAACCUCCCCUCUGAAGACAGUGAGAUGAUAAAAGAGAUCAAGGUCCCUGGGAAAACUUAAUCCUUCCCUGUUUUCCAUUACUUCUCAGGUUAUUUCACUCCGCUAUUAAGAAAUUUGGUGUGCUGAUGAGUAGGAGAGAAAGCUUCCGGACUUGGAAAAAAGAGAAGUUGGGUUGUAUGAGGACAGUCUAUUAAAGAUUCAGCAACUGUACAAACCCCACAGGUAGAAAGUCCCCCGGGAUCUCUGGUAGAACGAGACUGAUUAAAGCCUGACACUGGAGGUGUCCUGCAGCCACCCUCAAAAACACAAGAUAAGAACAGUCCCUAGAGAGCUGCCUCUCCACCCAAACCCAACGCUGAUAUGUGUCUCAUUGGCCACCAGGAGACCUGCAGAUCUCUCCCCAAAACCUUGGGAAAUAACUACCGAAUUUUUUGUUGUCAGAAUCAUUAGGGUUGGAAAAGACCUCCAAGAUCAACCAACCCUCCACCUACCACCAACAAUGCCCCACUAAACCACCUCUCUAAGUACCCCAUUGACAUGUUUCUGCAGCACCUCCAGAGAUCUCAAGCCCAGACAGCACUACAGGGCUCUGCACCUAUGGCUGUCACCUCCACGUUUAUAGGAGGAAGGGACAAGGCAGUCACAGACCAGCACAAAUCCACCCUGCUCAGUGAAACCGCAGCGAUUUACUGCAGCUGACAGGAGCGUGUAUUGAUGUUGUCACCAUCACCCGGGGUCAUUCUCACCACAGCGUGGCUUUCUCUCUCCCUUUCAUGUUGAGAUUUGCUCUUAGGCUUUUCCCUUGCAGGGAGUUUGAUGGAUGAAAACCUAGUGCGUGAGUCUGAUGCAAGGGGAGUUGUUUGGAGACUGCUUCCGUCUCUGGCUGUAUCAAUAAUUAAUAUGUUGAUCCAGAGCAAUAUUAUAAACAGGGUAAAUAUUUUUUCUUUCCUCGUUUGCUAUUUGGUGAACAGCAAAAGAAAAAUAACUGCUGGUGUCACUGCUCAGUGAGCUUCCCAGCGUCCCAGCCGACCACCCAAACAUUUCCAGUACGGAGCUGGGGAUGUGGGAAACCAGGAUCACAAGCACUCAGAAACUCAAAUCUGGGGAAUAGAGGAUCCAGGGCUGGUAAAUUUGAAAUGUUUUAACGUUUGGAAAGGUCGGAUCUCUGCCUGAGCUGUUUCAUGUUGACGUUUUCCCUAAUGAAGGACUAAUAAGUCCCCUCCUUCCCCCCAGUCUUUCUGUUUUCUGCUUUUCCAGACAGGGCAUUCCCGCAAGAUUAAAGCUUUGACUUUUUAAAGCUUCUCUUUUCUUGGGAAAAUCGCACCUCCCAGAUAUAAUGGCCCGGUGUCCCAUGAGACCAGUUGUGUUUUGUGGGCAGCUAAAAGGCCACUGUAUGGGGACAGAAGUGUGGGCAGGAAUCUCACUACAAGCAACAGUUUCUCAGCAUCAUCCCAUUGACAGUUUUCAUUUUUGUGCUCAUUAUUCAGUCUUAGUUCCUCUAACACCACAAUUUGGAUUUAGAAAUCGCAUCCCAUCUCAAUGUGUCCAUUAGAGUUGAGGAGGUCUUGGGAAGAGAGGCUGAAGCAUCACUGGCAGAGAGCUUUCAGCAGCUAGAUUUCCAAACUUUUUAUCCUCAGAGCAAGUAAAGGGCACUUUUCCAGAGGCAUUUAGCACCCGACUUGCUCACUGCUGGCUUAAAACAUUUUGGCCUCGAUGCUGAAAGUUUCUAAGGUCAUUUCAUCAUCUGGCUCCAGUUUAUUCUCAAGAACACCACUGCUGACAUGAUUCACCUGAGACCAAUUGUAUCCAUGGUCUUUGAACUUCUUCAUUAUGCAGAUAGGACUUUCCUCCUCCUCCUUGUCUGCAAAGUUGUCUCUGUCUUCCGUGCUGGUCCUUGAGGUUCCACGGUCCAAAUUAAAAUAUCAUCUGCUGUAACUUCAGCACCUCCUAAUCCCUCAAAUAUCUGCUAAAUUACUCUUUGAAAUACCUUGGGAGCAGAACUAAUUCCAGAUGGCAUUAGCUUAAAUUUGCAAUGUCCAACUGGUGUAUUAAAAAUCACCAGCUUUGAGCCCCAUUCAUCUAAUUUUACCGGCUUUAAUAGAUAUUCUGCCUUCCUGCUGAGAGUAUUUCUGCUUCUGAGAACAUUGCUAACUCUUCAUUAAGGGUUUCCAGCAGAUAAUGUCUCUGUUUGAAAGGUUUUAUUUAAACCAUAUAGAUCAAUCUGCAUCUGUGAUUUAUCUGGCUUUUUGAUUCACACCCCAGUUAAUCCACUAGCUUUAGCCUAGUCUGCUGGUUGAUGGAGUCCAAAGGGAUGACACACAACAGCAGGAUGAGUGGUUUGGUGUUGAUGCAGAAAGCAACCCCAGGACUAGCUGGGGAACCAAGCUUUUUCCGACCCUACAGUUCUGCCUCAUUCCCUCUCUGCCAGCAGAAGCAGUAGGAGCAGUUUUGUCAGGUUGCGGACCAGUAGUUUUUCACCAUUUCCAAUAAAUCUUGCAGUGACAAGGACUGCAAGCAUACAAGGAAAGUCUUGGAAUCAUAAAGUAGAACCAUUGAAUCAUCAAGGUUGGAAAGGGCCACUAGGAUCAUCUAGUCCAACUGUUGACCCAACCCCACCAUGCCCAUUAGCAUGUCCCUCAAUGCCACACCUACACGGUUCUUGGACACCCCCAGGGAUGGUGACUCCACCACCUCCCUGGUCUGCCUGUGCCAGUACAACUCUUUUAGAGAAGAAAUUUUUCCUAAUAUCAGGCCUAAUAUCCUAAUGUCUUGUAGUGGAUGAGCUCCAGUGUGUAAGAGCAGUCUGUGGAGCAAUUGUUUGUCUCCAGCCCAAAAUUCCCCCAGAAGGACAACUUUCUCCAAACUUCCUUCAGGGUUUGAGGCACCCAAGACUGACAAGUCAGAUCCAAGGUGGAUCUGAACCGGGUCUCCUGUGAUGGUGUGGAACUGAGAACCUUCACUCCAUCUCCAGCCAUUGCUGGGCACAUCUUGGGGUACAGGUGGAUCUGCUCAGUGCUGGGGCUCGCCUGUAUCUUGGAGAGUGGGAAUUGGUCUCCUUGAGCCAAAAUGUGAGUAUUGAAGCUUGAGCACACUUGUCCCUAUGAUAAAUUAACAGGAUUCACUGCUUGUAUGGUACCCAACAAAGAUUCACCCAGGCUUGUACGCAGCAUGCAGGAGCCAAAAUGAGGUAACAGAAGGGAAAGAAAAAAUAAAGAAAAAAAAAGGAUGGAGAACUGGAGAAAAAUGAAAGGAAAGCCCUUGAAGGUUGCUAGCCUGGUGUGUGUGAAAGAGGAGCUGAGCUGCCAUGCGAGGAGUAGGGGACACAGCCGGAGCUGGGGGGUGACACUGCAACACUGUCACUGCUGGAGCUGGUAUCCUGAGCUGGAGCAGGCAGGGAUGCUGGGCAGUGCUGGGUUGGAGGCCAGAUGGCACCUGAUGCCCACCGUGCCACUGCAACCCACCAGACGAUGACGCUUGGUGUUUACAGACUGCUAGAACUGCACUGGGCAGCCUGACUUUAAUCCCAUUCCUCCAUCGUCGCAUCCUUACCCUGCCCACGGACACCAUGUCCAGGGCAGCUUCAUUAUUUGCCUUUGUGCUCAGCCAGAGCUCUCUGCUUCCCCUGUGGCAGGAUAUUAACUGGGUUUAAUUUCAAGGAACAAAUCCCCUCUGUCCUCUGGGUUCCACUCUCGUACUCGGGCCAGCUCAUUUCCAGGCUGGCUUCCAGCAGGAAGGGUUGGAGGCCACACGGCAGCUGCUCAGAUGAUGGGGCUGGAGCUGCCAGCAAUUUUCUGCUGUGACCAAAAUGAUCUUUAAUAAAUGCAUGGGGGAUUUCUCAGGUUUUUUAUUUCCUCCUUUUUCCCUGGACUUUGGGCAAACUGCAGCAAAGAUGGAGCAGUGGGAACCGAGGGAUGGGAAUCAAGGAUGGUUGGAGGUGAGCUGCCCACGGGAAGGAUGGAUGAGGUUGGGUGGCUUUGGGGACAGGGAGCUCUUGCAGAUGCACGGCUUCUCCUUCAUCCUCUUGCAAACUUAAUUCAAGAUACACAGGAGACCAUAGAAUCAUAGAAUCAUUAAGGUUGGAAAAGACCUCUAAGAUGACCCAGUCCAACCAUCCACUUACCACCAAUAUCACUCACUCACCAUGUCCCUCAGUGCCACAUCCCCACGCUUCUUGAACACAUCCAGGAAUGGUGACUUCACCAUCACCCUGGGCAGACUGUGCCAACGCAGCACCACUCAUUCGGAGCUUUUCCUAAUAUCCAGUCCUCCCAAAGGAGAGCAGUGGCAGUGAAGCCCUUUGCCAUGUUGCUGCUGCAGGAGUUUUCUUGCAGACCAUGCAGUUUUAUUCAACUGGAAAAAUUCCUAGAGGCAUAUUAAUAUAAAAAAGAAAAGAAAAAAAAAUCCCCACUGCCAUUAUAACAGAAGUGUCAUAAUGGAUCUUUUCAAUGUCACUUCAUUCCAAUAGUCAAAAUGUUUCAUUUAGAUGUUAUCACUUUAAUUUCAUCCUGACUUUUUUACUGUCUCACUUGUGUAUAGGCUUCGUAUUACAUCUCACAUUACGCUGUUCAAACAUCACCCAAGUGGAACGCAGCCACUUCUUGAAAUGAAUCAGGGCGGGAUUGGAGUACUUUGGUUUCACACAGAAUCUUCCCUCCAUUCCUGUGGAGAGACUGCACGCUUUUGCCUUCGUGGUCCAGGCUGCAAUAAAACCCAGAGCUGCCAUUUUGGAAUUUCCACUGUCCGCAAUGGGGGGUUGGAACUGCACGGUCUUUGAGGUCCCUUCCAACCCAAGCCAUUAUACGGUCCUAUGAUUCUAUGAUUCAAGAUGCUGUGAGUUAGCUCUGGGGAUGAGGCUGCUCUGGUCCCCGCAUCACCCCCUGUGCCCACUGUCCUGGGAGGUUAUGCCUAUGAAUACUGAUGGUAUUUGUCUCACCCUGACCUCUUUGUAUAUCAUCCAACAUGCGUUUUCAUGCCAGUACUGACUGAGCUUGGAAAGCUGCAUCCCUAUAAACGGGUGGAGGAGAGGUAGAGACAGCAAGAUUGGCCUCGAGGGAUGCGGCAAUGUGAAUCUGUUUCCCAAAGUUUGUGUUCACUUGCCUUGCCUAAGGGAGGAGAAAAAAGAGGAGAGAACACGACAGGAGAAGGAAGAUGGAGCGUGCAGUGAGCAGAGCAGAUUUCCUUGCCGCUAGGUUUGCUUUCCCUUGCCAGGGGGACAAAACAACCAGAAGGUUGGAAAGUGUCCUGGAGAAGGUCUCCACAGAAGCAAGCCAAAUGCAUUUAGAGUGGAUAAACACCAGGUGAGGAACUACAUGAAAAUUGGAGAUACUUGUCCUGUUUGUGGCCAGGAUGUGCUUCCUGAGGCAGUGCCUGUCUUGCUUUUCUCCAUCAGGAGCUUCUGUUUUGGAGUCCUUUUCCUAAGAAACAGAGCAUAACUCCCCUCAAAUUUCUCAACCAAACCACCCUACUGCAUCAUCUGCCCUGGCUGGAGGUGCAAGGCUGGGGCAGCCCUUGUCCUGGGGGUGCAGAGGCGGUGGGUAGCACUCCCCCCAUUCCCAGCAAGGAUUGAUGCACCGUAGGGCUGGGCAUGGAAUCCUGAUUACUCAUUUGCUUUGACGGCCCUGAGAGCUUCACUUUUCACCCAGGCUUGACGUUUUUAUGGCAGAGCGAGUUAUUAAUCGUUAUUUUGAGCAGUGUUUGCAGGAAUGCUAUUUCUGCUAGAGCAGCGCAGGUGGGACACGUGCACGCAGAUGGGAGCUGCCAGGGAGCUCAGCUGGCAGCAUUUCGGGGUGAAAACUGUUAUUUCACUCUUCUCUCCAGCGCUUCCCAUGGUGCCAAAUGGUUAAGGGUUAUGGGAGGGAAACCUGGGCAGAAUGGGAAAUUUGGAGAGAAGGCAAAGAAGGAGGGGAAGGAGAGCAAAGACCUUCAUUGGAGCCAUUCUGGAAGCUUUCGCUGGCCUCUUUUAUAUUUCUGAAGAGGCUAUUUUACCAAUAUAUUUAUUUUUAUUCAUUUGCACUAGAAAACUCCAUGUGCCUGCCCUGCCUUCCCCAACCCGUUAUCGUGCAUCUGCUAAAUGGAGCUGGGCAGCCAGCAGCAAGGGGAGGACAUGAAACUUUAAUAGUGCUGCCUCUCUAAAAGCCAGAUUUGAGCUUCUCUCCUCUUUUUGAACUUCUGCGUGUAGAAUGCUGCUGAUGGAGCACGUUACCUGUUUAAAGAGCUGCUCCCCGUGCCAAGGAGCUGCAGCAGAGGCCACCUCGGUGUGGUGGGAUGGAGAUGUGAUAGCUUUAUUCCUCAUGGGCUUUGGUCAUAAGGCACGGGUCCAUCCCUCUUCAGCUUGGCAGUAAGCCUUCCUUUCUUCUUCAGAACGAGAGAAUAGCAUCAGUCCAACAGUAAAUAAAAGUUACAAUGCCCAAUAUAAACAUUCGUUGGCAUCCUACGCCCACAUGUCUGCAUGUUGCCUGGUUACAAGUAUAAAGGCUAGUGGCUUAUUUAUCCAGGAAAUCUGUCCUGAGUAUAACCUCAUGUCUGUGUUUCAGCCGGCGCAAUUCGCUCGGAGCAAGCACUAUAGGUGAUCUCAGUGUGAACUGCCCCCCCCUGGCCCCUGCAAUUUUCCACCUCACCCCAAAUAAACCUUGCUUUAAAAGACUGGAGACACCAAAGGGGGAUUUGGGGCCGUUCUGACGGCGUCGGUGGGUAAUCUGCCAAUGAUUUAAUUGUAGCGGUGCCUGGUUUUGUGCUCAUAAACCAAGCUGGGGGCAGUUGUUUGUGACUGUUCCCAGCCUCUGACUGCUUUUCUGGUGCAGAACAUCUUCCCCAGCCCGUGGUGCCAGCUGGGCUGCCCGCCAGCAGUGUUGCAAGGUGAGGCAAUGGGUCUGGAAAGCCGCUCGUAUCUCUGACUCCUCUUUUCCACUCUAUCCUGCUGGGUUUUGAUAUGUGCCUGCCAUGUCUGACCACAUUUUGUCUUUUCCAUGUGAAACACCGCCCUCCCCCUCAGUCUUGCUUUGCAGGCUGAGCACAACCCAGCAUUGGUACCACUUCCCUGUGGAUAUCUCCAGGUUGGGAUGCCCUAGCCUUGUCCGUAGAGCCAAGGAAAGCCUUUCUCAAUAGGCAGAGAGCCUUCUUUUCAGGCUGGAUAUUAAGAGAAACUUCUUUUCUGAGUAUUUGAGGAUAGGGACGGACUGUGCAGGGAGAUGGUGGGGUCACCAUCCCUGGAGGUGUUCAAGAACUGCGGAGAUGUGGCACUGAGGGACGUGAUCAGUAUUGCAGUAUUGGUGGUAGGUGGACAGCUGGACUUAGAAGCCUUCUCCAGCCUUUAUGAUUCUGUGAUUCUUCAUAAUAAACACUAAGCUGAUCUUAAACAUAGAAAUAUUUCCCACUGGAACCCAAGCCUGGGCUCUGUAGGAGAUGCUGGUGUGCAGCCAUAAGUAAUUUAUGGCAUCACAUAUAUCCUGGAAUCUGAAGGGUGUUGAAAGAAUUGAUCCAAGGCGUUUCUAGGCAGGUGAGGACCUGUGAACUUAGAGGAGUUAACAACAUUAAUUUGCUUUUUACCGCAUAGGCAUAAGCUGUCAAUAUUACCUUGACGUCGUUCAAAGAGCCAAUUGGCACAGUUGUUCAUUAGGAAAUGGCCCUAUAAAAGUGCUCUUUGAAAAAUUUAUGGAACCCAUAAAAGGAAGUAAUAUCAUGAACAAAUGGAGAGACACCAAAAACGACGUCCUUCGCGUCCCCACAAAAGCUCGUGUGUCACAAAGCAGUGUCUGUAAAUCUUGGGGGGGAAUUUGUGGCAGCUGUUCCAUUUGGCCACGCCGGGGCCUCGUGUGCAAUCAAUACACGAGGUUGUUCCUUUAGAUAGAUCUGUGGGAGCACCUUUUUCUACUGCUGGUGGCUUUCCCCACUUGUCUGCAGGGGCUUGGCAGCAAUGACCACCUAUUCAUUGCUCUAUAGCAUUAGAGAUGGGUUUUAACACCACCUCGGCAGAGAUGUAGCUCGCCCAUAAAGGCAUCACUGUGACUGGGAGAGGUGUAUGGCUUCAUCCCUUACAUGGGGACGGAGAUGCCCAGUGCCAGCACAAGGCUGUGUUGGGGUCAGAGCCCAAAUCCUGCUGGCUCCUCACACCACACAUCUGCCAGCCGCUCCGAGGUGUGAAAUGGGGCACUUGGACCAUCUCCUGGAUGGUGAUGGAUGACAGAGAGAUUAGCAUUCAUUGCUCUGGAUGUCUCCAUCAGCUCCUCUCAGCCAUUCAGUUCUUGCAAUCCCAGACUUUUCUUUCUCUCAUCCCAAGGUUUUCUCAUGCUUAAUACCCAUAUUUAGCCUCUUGUUUCAUGGCCUUCACUGGUUUGUCCUGCUGUCAAGUUAAACACAAGCUCCACAACCACAAGUAUUUAUCAGAAGAAGCCUUUUUUUUUUUCUGCUCGGAAAACCCCAAAGUUGGAAAUCUUAAGCCAGAAAAAGCACCGGAUCAGUCAUAUCUGGUGUGUCACCGCCUGGCUGGAGAUGCUGCAUUUAUUUACACACGCGUUAGGGAGAGGAAACAGCCGCGACCUGAUUGCCCAUUCAUCUCAGCUCUGCAGUUCCCCUGUUUCGAUGAGCUUUGCGAGUGUUCACUGGUAAAUCUUUGAUUUCAAGGAGGCGAGGUCAUGCUUUGCUUCUCAGUGCGCCAGGAGUAAAACAUUGCCCGGGGCACGCGGACGUGAAUGCAAUCACCUAAAUUUCUUUGCUGAUGUGGUCUGGGAGGAAGGCUUUUAUUUCAUUUGCUUUAUUUUCCCAGCUUGAAUGAAGCUGUGCUGGAGGGAGAAGUCUUCUCUGGGAAGCGAAUGCUAAAGCCAUACCUGCCCCCAGCCCUUCCUACCACAGAUUUCAUUUUCCACCCACUCUUUGCCUUUUGGGAUCUUUGCAACGAGGGUUAAAAUGCUCCAGGCUGCCAGCGUGCUUUGGAGAUGGCUUCAGCUUGCUCCAUCCUAAGCUUGGCUGCUCCUCCAGCCCCCGGUAGAUGUGACCCUACUAUUCCUACAUCCUUACUGUAGCGUGAGAUGUUCUUCUGCACUGAGCGGAGCGCUGCUGUCCAUGGUGAGGACACAGCUCCUCAACCAGAGCCAUCCACCACGGAUAACCAUAACCCUGGAUGCGCCUUCUUGGCAUUGCAGCUGCAGGCCUGGAGCACUGGAGUACCCAACUUCAAUCUCUUGUGAGAUGGGUCCCCAUGUGUCGCCUUGCUGCGCUCUGCUGGACCCCCAGAGAGACCCCUUCCAGGGGAGUAUGUGGAUCUUGAGCACCAAAGCAAGGAGAUGAGGAGGAGUGAGGAUGUGCUGUUUCACCAUGCUGGGGAACAUUAACUGGUAAUGGAAACGUGUUUGUGUGGUGGCUGCUUAUAGGUUUGCUCCCUUCAGCACUUUCCCAUUAAUAAGGCCUGGUGAACGUUCUCAGGCAUAUCAACUCUAAAUAGAUAGCUUGUCAGCUGGGAACUGAGCCCUUCAUAGAUCUCUUUGAUGGAACAGUUUUUAAGAACAAAACUGGGGACGAAGAGGGAGUGCUUGCAGGCCUCCAUCCAUAAAAGAUGAAUGGGUCUCUGGAAGAUGCUGUCAGAGAAGUUAAACAGCUAUUGGGCCAAGGGUGGGUUUGCUGCCCAAAGGAUUCCUCCAUCCCAGCAUCCCUUCCUUCCUCGCAGUGUACCCCUGCCUUCAAUUUCAUUUAAGACUGCCCUGGUUAGCUUUGUUCAAGACCUCUUCACCACCUUUUUCCCCACUUAUUUCUAUGAGUCCAACCUUGACCCACUCAAGAAAGAGACAAGAAUCCUUGGAAAUCCAUCAUGAAUUUAUUAUGUAUAUGUUUUUCUCUGACUUUUUCAUGGUUUCUGGGAAGCAGAAGACAGGAGAGCAUGACAGCUGAGCAGAACUCAUCACGGAGAGCAGUUAAGAGUGGCUUGGUGAUUCAAGACGUGCCAUUUUAAGAAGUCAGGCUUCCAGAUCACUGCCUGGAAGACUGGUCUGGAAGCAGAAGUCUCCGGCGAGCAUGAGGAACUCAUCCAUCCUUCCCCACGCUGGCAGAUGGAGCAGAAAACCUGCUGAUAUAUUCAAGGUCCUAAGAAGUUUUGAAGCGGCCAGUGGAUAUUAAUAUGGAACAGGAGCGCACCGUCCCCGCUGACCAGCUUUUAUCACCCCAGACACAUCUGCUGAUGCAGAGCUAUUUGUUUUGCAAGAGAUGCUCCCUGGGCAGGGAUCAGGGAGAGAGAGCUAAUGCAGGCUGAUGGGAUUCAUUUAGGGGAUGAGGAGGAGGAGUGGAAGAGGAGGGUCAAGGGAUUGACCAAGAUUUGUCUUGCUGCAGAGGGAGAAUGAGGGAUGUGGGGUUCCCCAUCUCUUUGAUCCUGGAGGCCACGUCUGUCUUCACAUUUGGGUUUUGCUGCCAGCAAGGAAGGGCUGGCAGAGGGUAGAGUUAAGGAUGGGAUCUUAUGAUUAUAUCAGGCACUGCGCGUGGCAGAGCGUGAUGGUGAAGCUCAUGCUUGCUUUCCUAAAUGUGAUUGCCCUGGAGAGACGAUGCAGACCAUCCUCUUCCAGAUCCCCAUUGCAGCCCAUCAUAAGCUGGGUCUCCCUUCAUUCCCCAGCAAACCCAGAGUGCAAACAACCCCUUUUCUUGCCCUAAUCUGGCAAAACCCCUUCUCCCUUGCAAACAGCUGCCUUUUCAGCGGUGCAGCGGAGGCCCUUGCUGGGCUCCUGAUUUACGCAGACCCGACCGAGGGAUUGUUCUGAAAUGGAUUUGUUAGUAUUAAUUACGCCGUGUCCCUGCUGAGAUUUUUAACAAGAUUAUGCUUCCAGAGCGUC